UUAAUGCAAAAUCUUCCAUGAAUUUUCCUAUUUAAAGACAAUUCUGAACCAUUCAUUGUAACAUACAUCGUCAACGUCACUUGAGAAACAGUUAAAAGUUUAUUUCUUUAUUUUGUUGCAUUCAAUCAUUGUUCAACUUGAUAUUCAAAUGGAUCGAGGAAGCCAAACAAAUCAGCGUAAUCCCACUCAUAGUCCAAAUGGCCCAGGCCAAAAUGAGCGCUACGCAGGGACUGGACCCUUCAAACCGAACGAACCAGUGCAACCCAACACACACCUAAAGUUUUCCAGGCCACAAUGCUGCCUACCAAGGGACUGGAACCAAGAGUGAUCUUGGUAAUCAAG